ensembl:lncRNA
GAAAACAACAACAGUUGAUGACAAACAUUACCAACAACCUCUACAGGGCAGGGUGAAGGUAUCACAACCACCAUGUGAAGAAGACUUUGACAGCAGAAAUAUAGAGUCCAUACCACAAGAUGUAAACCACUCAUCAGCAGCAAGAAUCAGAAAACCAGACUGGAGUCCGCAAAGUAAUACAGAGAUGAUCCACAAAAGUUCUGGAACCAAGAUGAACCUCUACCAAAGUGAUGGAAAGGCCAAAGUGUGGAGAAAGAAAGGAUCUGCUCAUGAUCCAGAACAUACGUGCUCAUCUGUGAAACAUGGUGGAGAGAAAUACAUCCGAAUGAAUCAGGAGGAACUUCAUCAUGCAGCAAGACAAUGAUCCAAAACACACUUCCACCUCAACACAGGACUUCAUCAGGGGGAAAGUGGAAGGUUUUAGACUGGACACGUCAAUCACCAGACCUUCACCCAACUGAUCAUCUCACCUCCUGAAGAGGAGACUGAAGGGAGAAACCCCCCGAAACACACAACUACUGAAAGAAGCUGCAGGAGAAACCUGGAGAAGCUUCACAGCAGAAGAAACCAGCAGUUUGAUGUCAGUGAGUCGCAGGAUUGAUGCAGUUAUUACAAACAACAGAUAUGAACCAAAUAUUAAGUCUUAUUUACUUUCAUUUACACUGUUCCUAUACUUUGCAAAUGGGGUGGUCUGCCAUCAAAGGUGUCAUAUGUAACACAUCUAGAUGUAAAUAUCAGGAAAUGAAAGCUGAAAUUCUGAUUUAUUCAUAUUUUGAAGUCUUCAGUGUAUAGUGAAAACAAUAGAAUUGGACUUGCUGUUCCAGUACUUUUGGAGGGGACUGUAUAACACUGUAUCUGUAACUCUGAUUCAUUUAUCAUUACAGUAUAUUUGAGCUUAUCAGCAAAAUCAUCUUAUUUUUUAUUGACU